rnacentral:rRNA from 1 species
UACGUAGGGUGCAAGCGUUGUCCGGAAUUAUUGGGCGUAAAGAGCUCGUAGGCGGUCUGUCGCGUCGGCUGUGAAAACUCGGGGCUCAACCCCGGGUCUGCAGUGGAUACGGGCAGGCUAGAGGUAGGUAGGGGAGAAUGGAAUUCCCGGUGUAGCGGUGAAAUGCGCAGAUAUCGGGAGGAACACCGGUGGCGAAGGCGGUUCUCUGGGCCUUACCUGACGCUGAGGAGCGAAAGCGUGGGGAGCGAACAGG